AUUGAACGCUGGCGGUACGCCUAACACAUGCAAGUCGAACGAGUGGCGGACGGGUGAGUAAUGUCUCGGAAACUGCCUGCUGGAGGGGGAUAACUACUGGAAACGGUAUCUAAUACCGCAUACCAUCGGAUGUGCCCAGAUGGGAUUAGCUAGUAGGGGGGGUAAACGCUCACCUAGGCGCCGAUCCCUAGCUGGUCUGAGAGGAUGACCAGACAAAAUGGAACUGAGACACGGUCCAGACUCCUACGGGAGGCAGCAGUGGGGAAUAGUGCACAAUGGGCGAAAGCCUGAUGCAACAAUGCCGCGUGUAUGAGGAAGGCCUUCGGGUUGUAAAGUACUUUCAGCGGGGAGGCGUUACCCGCAGAAGAAGCACCGGCUAACUCCGUGCCAGCAGCCGCGGUAAUAC
rnacentral:rRNA from 1 species